UUAAGCGACUAAGCGUACACGGUGGAUGCCCUGGCAGUCAGAGGCGAUGAAGGACGUGCUAAUCUGCGAAAAGCGUCGGUAAGGUGAUAUGAACCGUUAUAACCGGCGAUGUCCGAAUGGGGAAACCCAGUGCAAUUCGUUGCACUAUCGUUAACUGAAUACAUAGGUUAACGAGGCGAACCGGGGGAACUGAAACAUCUAAGUACCCCGAGGAAAAGAAAUCAACCGAGAUUCCCCCAGUAGCGGCGAGCGAACGGGGAGCAGCCCAGAGUCUGAAUCAGCUUGUGUGUUAGUGGAACGGUCUGGAAAGUCCGACGGUACAGGGUGAUAGUCCCGUACACCAAAAUGCACAGGCUGUGAACUCGAAGAGUAGGGCGGGACACGUGGUAUCCUGUCUGAAUAUGGGGGGACCAUCCUCCAAGGCUAAAUACUCCUGACUGACCGAUAGUGAACCAGUACCGUGAGGGAAAGGCGAAAAGAACCCCGGCGAGGGGAGUGAAAAAGAACCUGAAACCGUGUACGUACAAGCAGUGGGAGCACCUUCGGGUGUGACUGCGUACCUUUUGUAUAAUGGGUCAGCGACUUAUAUUCUGUAGCAAGGUUAACCGUAUAGGGGAGCCGCAGGGAAACCGAGUCUUAACUGGGCGUUAAGUUGCAGGGUAUAGACCCGAAACCCGGUGAUCUAGCCAUGGGCAGGUUGAAGGUUGGGUAACACUAACUGGAGGACCGAACCGACUAAUGUUGAAAAAUUAGCGGAUGACUUGUGGCUGGGGGUGAAAGGCCAAUCAAACCGGGAGAUAGCUGGUUCUCCCCGAAAGCUAUUUAGGUAGCGCCUCGUGAACUCAUCUUCGGGGGUAGAGCACUGUUUCGGCUAGGGGGUCAUCCCGACUUACCAACCCGAUGCAAACUACGAAUACCGAAGAAUGUUAUCACGGGAGACACACGGCGGGUGCUAACGUCCGUCGUGAAGAGGGAAACAACCCAGACCGCCAGCUAAGGUCCCAAAGUCAUGGUUAAGUGGGAAACGAUGUGGGAAGGCACAGACAGCCAGGAUGUUGGCUUAGAAGCAGCCAUCAUUUAAAGAAAGCGUAAUAGCUCACUGGUCGAGUCGGCCUGCGCGGAAGAUGUAACGGGGCUAAACCAUGCACCGAAGCUGCGGCAGCGACACUAUGUGUUGUUGGGUAGGGGAGCGUUCUGUAAGCCUGCGAAGGUGGCCUGUGAGGGUUGCUGGAGGUAUCAGAAGUGCGAAUGCUGACAUAAGUAACGAUAAAGCGGGUGAAAAGCCCGCUCGCCGGAAGACCAAGGGUUCCUGUCCAACGUUAAUCGGGGCAGGGUGAGUCGACCCCUAAGGCGAGGCCGAAAGGCGUAGUCGAUGGGAAACAGGUUAAUAUUCCUGUACUUGGUGUUACUGCGAAGGGGGGACGGAGAAGGCUAUGUUAGCCGGGCGACGGUUGUCCCGGUUUAAGCAUGUAGGCUGGUUAUCCAGGCAAAUCCGGAUAAUCAAGGCUGAGGUGUGAUGACGAGGCACUACGGUGCUGAAGUAACAAAUGCCCUGCUUCCAGGAAAAGCCUCUAAGCAUCAGGUAACAUUAAAUCGUACCCCAAACCGACACAGGUGGUCAGGUAGAGAAUACCAAGGCGCUUGAGAGAACUCGGGUGAAGGAACUAGGCAAAAUGGUGCCGUAACUUCGGGAGAAGGCACGCUGGUGUGUAGGUGAAGCCCCUGCGGGUGGAGCUGAGACCAGUCGAAGAUACCAGCUGGCUGCAACUGUUUAUUAAAAACACAGCACUGUGCAAACACGAAAGUGGACGUAUACGGUGUGACGCCUGCCCGGUGCCGGAAGGUUAAUUGAUGGGGUUAUCCGUAAGGAGAAGCUCUUGAUCGAAGCCCCGGUAAACGGCGGCCGUAACUAUAACGGUCCUAAGGUAGCGAAAUUCCUUGUCGGGUAAGUUCCGACCUGCACGAAUGGCGUAAUGAUGGCCAGGCUGUCUCCACCCGAGACUCAGUGAAAUUGAACUCGCUGUGAAGAUGCAGUGUACCCGCGGCAAGACGGAAAGACCCCGUGAACCUUUACUAUAGCUUGACACUGAACAUUGAGCCUUGAUGUGUAGGAUAGGUGGGAGGCUUUGAAGCGUGGACGCCAGUCUGCGUGGAGCCAACCUUGAAAUACCACCCUUUAAUGUUUGAUGUUCUAACGUUGGCCCCUUACCGGGGUUGCGGACAGUGUCUGGUGGGUAGUUUGACUGGGGCGGUCUCCUCCCAAAGCGUAACGGAGGAGCACGAAGGUUAGCUAAUCCUGGUCGGACAUCAGGAGGUUAGUGCAAUGGCAUAAGCUAGCUUGACUGCGAGCGUGACGGCGCGAGCAGGUGCGAAAGCAGGUCAUAGUGAUCCGGUGGUUCUGAAUGGAAGGGCCAUCGCUCAACGGAUAAAAGGUACUCCGGGGAUAACAGGCUGAUACCGCCCAAGAGUUCAUAUCGACGGCGGUGUUUGGCACCUCGAUGUCGGCUCAUCACAUCCUGGGGCUGAAGUAGGUCCCAAGGGUAUGGCUGUUCGCCAUUUAAAGUGGUACGCGAGCUGGGUUUAGAACGUCGUGAGACAGUUCGGUCCCUAUCUGCCGUGGGCGCUGGAGAAUUGAGGGGGGCUGCUCCUAGUACGAGAGGACCGGAGUGGACGCAUCACUGGUGUUCGGGUUGUCAUGCCAAUGGCACUGCCCGGUAGCUAAAUGCGGAAGAGAUAAGUGCUGAAAGCAUCUAAGCACGAAACUUGCCCCGAGAUGAGUUCUCCCUGAGACUUUAAGUCUCCUGAAGGAACGUUGAAGACGACGACGUUGAUAGGCCGGGUGUGUAAGCGCAGCGAUGCGUUGAGCUAACCGGUACUAAUGAACCGUGAGGCUUAACCUU
rnacentral:rRNA from 1 species